rnacentral:rRNA from 1 species
UACGUAGGGUGCAAGCGUUGUCCGGAAUUAUUGGGCGUAAAGAGCUCGUAGGCGGUCUGUCGCGUCUGCUGUGAAAUCCCGAGGCUCAACCUCGGGCCUGCAGUGGGGUACGGGCAGGCUAGAGUUCGGUAGGGGAGACUGGAAUUCCUGGUGUAGCGGUGAAAUGCGCAGAUAUCAGGAGGAACACCGAUGGCGAAGGCAGGUCUCUGGGCCGAUACUGACGCUGAGGAGCGAAAGCGUGGGGAGCGAACAGG